UGAGGAAUAUUGGUCAAUGGGCGAGAGCCUGAACCAGCCAAGUCGCGUGAAGGAAGACAGUCCUAAGGAUUGUAAACUUCUUUUAUACGGGAAUAACGGGCGAUACGAGUAUUGCAUUGAAUGUACCGUAAGAAUAAGCAUCGGCUAACUCCGUUCCAGCAGCCGCGGUAAUACGGAGGAUGCGAGCGUUAUCCGGACUUACUGGGUUUAAAGGGUGCGUAGGUUGUUCGGUAAGUCAGCGGUGAAACCUGAGCGCCCAACGUUCAGCCUGCCGUUGAAACUGCCGGGCUUGAGUUCAGUGGCGGCAGGCGGAAUUCGUUGUGUAGCGGUGAAAUGCAUAGAUAUCACGAGGAACUCCGAUUGCGAAGGCAGCUUGCCAUACUGCGACUGACACUGAAGCACGAAGGCGUGGGUAUCAAACAGG
rnacentral:rRNA from 1 species